AAGAAAAGAGGAGCUGGUAUCAGGCUCAAUAUGCCCAUAACACCUAGCCCCGCCACACCCCCAAGGGUAUUCAGCAGUGAUUAACAUUGUAAACUAGCGAAAGCUAAAUUCAGUUACUAGCUAAAAAAACCGGUCAAUCUCGUGCCAGCCACCGCGGUUAUACGGGCAGGUUUAAAUUGAUAACAUCGGCACAAAGCGUGGUUAGAUUCUCACUUUAAUAAAGCAAAAAUUAAGCCUGGCUGUGAUAUGCUUUCGCUUUUAAUAACCUCAAUCACGAAAGUAGCUUUAACUCCUAUUGAACCCACGAUCGCUAGGGCACAAACUGGGAUUAGAUACCCCACUAUGCCUAGCCCUAAACUUUGAUUUCUCCGCCCGGGAACUACGAGCGUCAGCUUAAAACCCAAAAGACUUGGCGGUGCCCUAUACCACCUAGAGGAGCCUGUUCUAUAAUCGAUAAUCCCCGAUUCACCUCACCAUCUCUUGCCAAUACCGCCUGUAUACCUCCGUCGCCAACUGACCCCUCAAGGGCAAUAGUCGGUUAAAUGGCUUUCCCCCCGUAAGUCAGGUCAAGGUGCAGCGAAUGAGAUGGGAAGAAAUGGGCUACAUUUUCUACUAAUAGACUAUACGAAAGAUCACUAUGAAAUCUGAUUGGAAGGUGGAUUUAGCAGUAAAAAGAGACAAGAGCGCUCUUUUUAAGUUGGCUCUAGGGCGCGCACACACCGCCCGUC
rnacentral:rRNA from 1 species